rnacentral:rRNA from 1 species
UACGAAGGGGGCUAGCGUUGCUCGGAAUUACUGGGCGUAAAGCGCACGUAGGCGGAUUGUUAAGUCGGGGGUGAAAUCCUGGAGCUCAACUCCAGAACUGCCUUCGAUACUGGCGAUCUCGAGUUCGGGAGAGGUGAGUGGAACUGCGAGUGUAGAGGUGAAAUUCGUAGAUAUCAAGCAGAACACCUGCGGCGAAGGCGGCCUUCUGGACGAUGACUGACGCUGAGACGCGAAAGCGUGGGGAGCAAACAGG